GCCUGGGUGGCUCAGUCAGUUGAGUGUCUGACUUCGGCUCAGGUCAUGAUCUCACAGUCCGUGAGUUCGAGCCCCGCGUCGGGCU
rnacentral:tRNA from 1 species